rnacentral:sRNA from 1 species
AGUAGUUAGUGUUUAGAUUUGGGAAAAAUGUUAUUUAAUACCUAACUUUCAAAAAGUGGCCAAAUUAACCGUGAAUUCUUGAAAUGGCCGUUUUAUAGCUCAACAAAAAGUUGACUUCUAAUUUAACCUAUAAUUUAUCGUUGACCCGGCCAAAUCGACUCAUUGUUAACACUUCUUAACAGCUCUCCUAACAGCGUAACUAACAACUGUUUUCGUCCUUAAACCAACGAUAACUGCUGUUAGGCCAUGUUUUGUAACGGCUGUUAGAAGUGCUGUUAAGGAGUGUUAACGGUGAGUCGAUUUGGCCGGGUCAACGAUAAAUUAUAGGUUAAAUUAGAAGUCAACGAUAAAUUAUAGGUUAAAUUAGAAAUCAACUUUUUGUUGAGGUAUAAAACGACCAUUUCAAGAGUUCACGGUUAAUUUGGCCAUUUUUUGAAAGUUCAGGUAUUAAAUAACAUUUUCCCGUUUAGAUUUUACAAUUAAAUGAAAUUAUAUGUCGGUUUAGGUUUAUAAAAGAGCGGUUAGAGUUUAGAUUUUACAGUUAAAUGAAAUUAUAUAAUCUAUUUCUUGCCUAAUUUGAUCAAAUGCUUAUUCUAAAACAAGAAAUUAACUGUGAGUUUUAGUAUUUCGUGUUGAAUUAUA